GACGAACGCUGGCGGCGUGCUUAACACAUGCAAGUCGAGCGGUAAGGCCCUUUCGGGGGUACACGAGCGGCGAACGGGUGAGUAACACGUGGGUGACCUGCCCUCAGCUCUGGGAUAAGCCUGGGAAACCGGGUCUAAUACUGGAUAUGACUCCAUGACGCAUGUUGUGGGGUGGAAAGCCUUGUGCGGCUGAGGAUGGGCCCGCGGCCUAUCAGCUUGUUGGUGGGGUGAGGCCUACCAAGGCGACGACGGGUAGCCGGCCUGAGAGGCGACCGGCCACACUGGGACUGAGACACGGCCCAGACUCCUACGGGAGGCAGCAGUGGGGAAUCUUGCGCAAUGGGCGAAAGCCUGACGCAGCGACGCCGCGUGAGGGAUGACGGCCUCGGUU
rnacentral:rRNA from 1 species